UAAGGGAUGUACUAGGCCAUAUAGAACCCACAAACGUAGAUAUUUUGUUUCACUGGCUUUUUCCACCUCUUCAGGCUAAACACUGAAGGCAUUGUAGUUCUACUUCAAAACGUGAAUGCACUGGGAAAGUUAAUACUGCCUGUUCUGUUUUGUUGUAGCACUGAUGCAGAGAGAUCUUCCCAGUCUUGUCCCUCAUCACCAUGGCUGCUCUUUCACGCUGUCAGCCCAUCACCUGAGCACUGGCUUCAGCCAGCAGUCCAUGUUUUUUCUUAGGAUUAACAAAACCACCAUCUUGGACUAGAUAAGUGAUGAUUUCUGAGAAAGGUUUCCUUCUGCUUCAGUUGACCUACUCAGGACACCCAAAUGCCACUGCAGAUCAAAUGUCAUUGGGUUCAGCGUCUGCCAGAGUUGAGAUUUUGCGUAGCAGCUGUUAUUCUGAAGAAGCACGCUGCAGGGCCGUCCUAGCUCUCACCUGCUAGCAAUCAGAUGGGUCCAACAUACCCUCGCACCAUGGAAAAGCCUUCCCCAGGUCCCUGUGCCAAGCUGAUGUUAGGACAGAAUAGCAUAAAAUAGGUUAUUCAGCUGGUGAGGGAGUAAGGCAGAGCUGCCUGGUAAAGCAGUUUUUCAGCCUUUUGUGCAGUGUAUCGGGAAUCAGGAUCUGGACGCUUCACCAUAAAUGAGCUGUUUACUAAACAUUUCCUGCAACUUUCAGUAAACAGAUUGGUUCAUCCUUUUACUUAUUAAGAUGCUCUUAUCCUUGCUAUAAAAACAUAUGUAAUCUGGAGAGAUUUCUGAGUGACAGAGUGGAUUUGUGAAAACAUCCGCAUAAUGUUUUUCCACUCGCUUUCAGCCCUGUUCUUGGAUUUGCUGGCUGAGACAAUGUUUGGAGUGAAGUCAUGUGAUCAAUCUGCAUUUUCGUGCAGUCUUCCUGAGCUGUUGCACCACUCUUUUUCAUGCUAGGUAUUCUGUUGAUCUAUAGAUCUCGGCUUUUUUUUUUUUUUUUUUUUUUUUUAAAGGCUAAUACAUCAAAAUUAUACAGUGUUAAGGAUUUCAGUCAGAGAUUAUGUCAGAAUUAGAACAUUCCCGAGUGAAGGUCAUAUAAAUCAAUCCUUCAGUUAUUCCAUUUUCAGUUUCAUUGUAAUGAACAGUACCCUGCUUGCAGUGAGAGGGCUUAUGGUGCUAGAAUACUGAUAAGAUGAUAUUGCAUUCAGAGUACAUUUUCUGCUAUUGGAUGAAAUCUGCAAUGCGAUAUAUGACAUCUGUACAAGGGUCUGUGUUGAAAUGCCUUGAAAUUGUCAAAUUAUAACAUUCUAGAGAUGAGCUUGCUUUGUAAAAUCAUUGAAUCACCUUUAUUGCGGAAAGAAUUUAAAUGAUCAAAGUAAUAACAAAGCUCUUGUAGUAGAAAUGUAAAAGGAAAACGUAUCACUCUUUCAGUGCUGGCAUAUUAAACAAGUUAAUGGUAUAUUGCUGUGCCUUCCUAAC